AGUCCCGUGGUGUAGCGGUCAAGCAUACUGGCCUUUGGAGCCCGUGACGGAGGUUCGAAUCCUCCCGGGACUA
rnacentral:tRNA from 1 species